GUGAAUUUAUAUGAAUAUUUAGUCAAAGAUAUGAAUUUUGGUUGAAUGAAUCAAUUUCUAUUGGCUUUUGAUUGUUGGAAAUGAUAAAAGUUAAAAAAGUGGGUGAAAAAGUGACAUUUUCUGCAUAAAGUAAGCUGCCACUCCACACAUUUCAGCAAAAAGGGCACAAGUUGUCAGUUCAAAGCAUUCGGGAAGGUUAGAUUCGCUUUUAUGGAAAUAUAGGGGUUAGAUUCGGAAUUAUUGACAAAAAUUGUUUAGUUUCGCAUUUAUGGGUGAAAAUCUGUCAUUAUAUUAAAGUAAGAGGGAUGUUUUCGCGCAUCUGGUCAUCUGAUCAGAAUUCAUUCCAUUGUUCGUUCCUUGAACCGGCAUUGACGAACAUAUUAUAAGCGAAAGUCAAUAAGAGAAAGUCAGAUUCGCAGGUUUCUUAUCUGUGAAGCGAACGUUCGCUUUGAGUGUUUGUUGAAUGCAUUUUUCAAAGACUUAUGACGAACUGUUAACGAACGGAUGAGCAAUUGGUCAUAGUUUGAAAAGUCAAAAUUGACUAUGAACAAUGGACGAAUGAUGAGUUCCUGCGAACGAAUGAAAUCAGAAUCAUGACUACAAUCGGGAGUGUAAUCGGGGAGGUUGUGUGCUUAUUCACAAUUGAAAGUCAAAGGCACAUUCAGAAAAGUCAAAAUUGUUGUGAACCUCUCUUACCUGCGAAAGUUCGUAAUAUCAGUAAAACGAAUCAUCUUGGAUUCGGAGUUACUGUUGAUUCACGAUAUGAAUUGUGAUCGAUGCGAAAGGUAUUGGAAUCGGGGCUUAUGUCAAAAUCGAUUGUGUGAUGCGAACAAAAUCAGAUCCGUAACUGGAAUGGGCAAUGGUCGAACAGUUGGUCUAAACGAAAAGUCAAAAUUGCCUUGAAAGUCCUUCCUGCGAACGUUCGCUUUGGGGGUAUAAUCGACUGACUCGGAACGAACUUGGGUUCGUAUGUUUGUGCUUGGAACGAAAGGCGGGACUGGGCUCGGAUUCGCACUCAAGAACCUGUGAUUGGAUUCGUUUUGGUGGAGAUUCGCUUUGGGUGUAGUCGUGUAGAAUCAACAAACUUGGAAUGAAUGGUGGCACUAAACUCGGAUUCUGAGUCCCAUAGGCACGAAUGUCUGAAAACGAACCGUGUGCUCGGAACGAAAGUAUGAUUCGUGGCUAUUGAUUUUGGAGGUCACGCAUUCGUUCUAGUCGCUGUGUUCAUUUUAUCAGGAAUUAAAU
rnacentral:lncRNA from 1 species